UCCUUAGAUGUCCUGGGCCGCACGCGCGUUACACUGAUGCAUUCAACGAGCUUAUAACCUUGGCCGAGGGGCCUGGGCAAUCUUGUUAACGUGCAUCGUGAUAGGGAUAGAUUAUUGAAAUUAUUAAUCUUGAACGAGGAAUUCCUAGUAAACGCAGAUCAUCAAUCUGCAUUGAUUACGUCCCUGCCCUUUGUACACACCGCCCGUCGCACCUACCGAUUGGAUGGUCUGGUGAAGCCUCGGGAUUGUGGUUCUUGCCGCUUUAUUGUGGCGUGACCGCGAGAACUUGUCUAAACCUUAUCAUCUAGAGGAAGGUGAAGUCGUAACA
rnacentral:rRNA from 1 species